rnacentral:rRNA from 1 species
GACGAACGCUGGCGGCGUGCUUAACACAUGCAAGUCGAACGGAGUGGCGAACGGGUGAGUAACACGUGGGUGACCUGCCCUGCACUUCGGGAUAAGCCUGGGAAACUGGGUCUAAUACCGGAUAGUGUGGGAUGGGCCCGCGGCCUAUCAGCUUGUUGGUGGGGUAAUGGCCUACCAAGGCGGCGACGGGUGGCCGGACUGAGAGGGUGGACGGCCACAUGGGGACUGAGGAACGGGCAAGACGCAUACGGGAGGCAGGAGAGGGGAAUAGUGCACAAUGGGCGGAAGGCUGAUGCAGCGACGCCGCGUGGGGGAUGACGGCUUUCGGGUUGUAAACUCCUUUCAGCAUCGACGCGGGAGAUGGAGAAGAAGCACCGGCUAACUACGUGCCAGCAGCCGCGGUAAUAC